rnacentral:rRNA from 1 species
AGUGAACGCUGGCGGUAGGCCUAACACAUGCAAGUCGAACGGCAGCACAGUAAGAGCUUGCUCUUACGGGUGGCGAGUGGCGGACGGGUGAGGAAUACAUCGGAAUCUACUUUUUCGUGGGGGAUAACGUAGGGAAACUUACGCUAAUACCGCAUACGACCUACGGGUGAAAGCAGGGGAUCUUCGGACCUUGCGCAAUUGAAUGAGCCGAUGUCGGAUUAGCUAGUUGGCGGGGUAAAGGCCCACCAAGGCGACGAUCCGUAGCUGGUCUGAGAGGAUGAUCAGCCACACUGGAACUGAGACACGGUCCAGACUCCUACGGGAGGCAGCAGUGGGGAAUAUUGGACAAUGGGCGCAAGCCUGAUCCAGCCAUACCGCGUGGGUGAAGAAGGCCUUCGGGUUGUAAAGCCCUUUUGUUGGGAAAGAAAAGCAGCAGGUUAAUACCCCGCCGUUCUGACGGUACCCAAAGAAUAAGCACCGGCUAACUUCGUG